GCAGUGCGCCUGCGCGCGGCCUACCCCGAGAGUGGAGGGAAUGGUGCGUGCGGGCGUGUCUCCCCGGACUCUAGAACGUCGGAUCCUGGGGCAGGUCCGAGCCCAAGUGUCUUGCAUACCACAGAAAGGCAGCUUCAAUGGCCUGGGAAGAAACUCACACUUCGCUCUGAGGGUUCCCGCCCAGCUCAAGGCUCACACACGUCACGGUGCACUCAGCAGAGGCGCUGACAGAGCCAGAGGACCAGGAUCAGUUACACAGGGAGAGGAGUCACUCACCCUUGGAAUCUGGCCACAUGCUGUAAGGAAGCCUAGGCCACAUGGAGAUGCCACAUACAGAUGUUCCCGCUGAUAAUCCCAGCAAAGAUUCCAGGCAACAGCCAACAUCAAUUGCUAAUCAUAUGCAUGAAUGAGCACUCAGAUGAUUCCAGCUCUUAGUCUUCAAGUUGCCCAGAGGAGCAGAGAUGAGCUGUCUCCACUAAACCCUACCCAAACUGGAGAUUCGAGAGCAAAAUAAAUCGUUUAAGCCACAGCAAUGGUUUGUUAUGCAACCAUAGGUAACUAGGACUCUGUAGUAUCUGUGUGUUCUUGGGAAGUCUUCUGGUGAUAUCAGACUUUGGAUAAUUUCUUCUCUCUAGGCCUUGGUUUCCUCAGCUGUAAAAUGGAACAAUAAUUACUACAUCAUGGGAAUGUUGUGAGGUUUAAAUGAGAUAAUACACACAAGGUGCUCUUUUUAUAAUGGGACUUAAACAAAUGCUACCUAAUAUUAUUUCAACUUACUUCUGUCAAGUUGUUCUAGAUUUACUGCUUUGUACAAAUUCCCUUUCAUGGUAUGUGUCAUAUACACACAAACAUAAAACCUGCUUUUGUAUAUACACACCCAGGCACAUCACAAUACCGCAGUUUCUACAUUGCUCUCUUGGAACACUUGUUCCGGGGGACGCCAGCUACCAUUUCAUAAGGAUGCUCAAGCAGCCUUAUAAGGAGAUCCAUAUAGUGAGAAACAGACCUCUUGCCUCACUAACUUGCCAACCAUGUGAGUGACCUACCUGGAAGCUGAUCCUCUAGCCCUAGUCAGCCUUCAGAUGACUGCAACCUUUUAGAGAUCCCAAGCCAGAAACACCCUCCUAAGCCACUCUUGAUUCCCAUAGAAACUGCAAAAACUGUAUGAAAUUAAAAAAAAAAAAUAUUGUUUUAAGUCACUAAGCUUUGGGAUAACGUAUUAUGCACUAAUAGUUAACUAAUAGAUCAAUCAUCAUGAGGAGGGAUGCAGGGAAGAAACUGAUUCAAGGUUGAGGGCUGUUUCAGGGUCAAUGUGGAAGGACAGAGAUGGCUGAAUGGACUUGAAAGUGUUGAUGAGACUGAGUUUGAAAUAAAUCAUCAUGGAGUCCAGGGUAGAAAGGGAAGAAAGCAAAACCAGAUGAGGGAACAGAUUUGGAACUGGGAGACUGUAAACUGCAGAUUUCACUGAAGCUGAAGAGCAGGUUUGGUGAGGGUAAAGGAGUAAGAAUCUGCAAAAAAAGAAAUUUUGUUUUGAAUGUGGAAUACCUUGCUUACUGAUUCAAAGGUGGAA